GAUGAGCGCUGGCGGCGUGCCUAAUACAUGCAAGUCGAGCGAACGGACGAGAAGCUUGCUUCUCUGAUGUUAGCGGCGGACGGGUGAGUAACACGUGGAUAACCUACCUAUAAGACUGGGAUAACUUCGGGAAACCGUAGCUAAUACCGGAUAAUAUUUUGAACCGCAUGGUUCAAAAGUGAAAGACGGUCUUGCUGUCACUUAUAGAUGGAUCCGCGCUGCAUUAGCUAGUUGGUAAGGUAACGGCUUACCAAGGCAACGAUGCAUAGCCGACCUGAGAGAGUGAUCGGCCACACUGGAACUGAGACACGGUCCAGACUCCUACGGGAGGCAGCAGUAGGGAAUCUUCCGCAAUGGGCGAAAGCCUGACGGAGCAGCGCCGCGUGAGUGAUGAAGGUCUUCGGAUCGUAAAACUCUGUUAUUAGGGAAGAACAUAUGUGUAAGUAACUGUGCACAUCUUGACGGUACCUAAUCAGAAAGCCACGGCUAACUACGUG
rnacentral:rRNA from 1 species